CAACAGGGGUGGCACGGUCACUUGCACUUGUAGAUCUAUUUUCUUUCGUUCUGUUUUUUCUUUUGGAAGAGAAGGUGUGUCGUUGUGUGAGUGCACGGAUCACACCGUCCUCGUCUUCGUCCGAGUGCCCUCCCCGCACCUCUCCCUUGCCACCUUAGGACAGUGCUCCGGCUGUCUUGCCUUCGCUCACUUGACUUCUUGUUCAGUGUGGUUUGGAUUUACUGGUGUUUCGCUCUCGUGCGCGUGUGAGUGAGUGGGUGAGUCUGCUGUUGUUGCGCUUCUCGUUACCGGCUGCUGGUUGCUGCCCAGAUCACCACCUCUGUUCCGUUUCCGUGCUACUCUGUUGCGCCUAAUCUCGUCUUCCCGGGUUCUUCCCUUCCCCUCCGGCAGCUCGAUUUCGCCACAACCCCCGGGCUGGCAGUGCUUCCGCGUUGCUCGAUGAGUCAGUUGGCUCACCCACACGCUCCGCUGCUUCCUUCAACUCGCGUUUUUUUUUUUGCGGUGAACUCCAGAGUUGGAGAGGUCUGACGUGCAGGGGUACACACGACAAACGAGGGGAGCGAAGGCUACAACGCCCAGCGCCGCACACGCCACCACUUGGGAGGAACCGUUAGGAGGAGGGGUGACUCAGAGCAAGCACGCGCGCACACACGCACAUAUAUAUAUAUAUAUAUAUCUGCGGAGCAGCAUCAACUACGGAGCCGCCAAAGCCUCGUGUUCUCCCUUGGCUCGCCACUCCUGACCUCUUCUUUCCUCCCCCAUCUUCUUCUCUAGGUGAAGCGGCGCCUUCCCCUUUGGCGGAGUGUCUGUCUGUACGACGGCGUACAUUGUUGGGUGCCCGUGUGUGCGUGUGUGGUGUGUGGUGUCCCCUGCUGGCGCACGCAUCUCUCGUUCUCGCUGCCCUGUUGUCAUUCGCUUUAUUGUUUUUCGUGUUCGUUUCCUCUUAGAAUCAUCCGCACCCUGUUCAGGCCUCGUCACCGUUGUUGCCCUUUUCGUGUUUGCUUCUGUUGUUGUUUUCGGCCCGACACCCCUCCUUCCCCGCGCCACUCCUCCCACCACCAAGCCUACGGUACAUUGUUGUCUACCUGGGUUUGGUAGUAAAAGCACAGGGCUGUACCGUGCCUGGCAUUAGCGUUGCUACGUUCGGUGCAUCAUCGAGUCUUCUCGUGGGUGAGUGUGUAAAGCGGUCGGCACGCCGUCGACACCCCCCCUCCCCUCUCCCUCCAACGCGUCGUCCUCCCAUCAGGCCAGACGGCAGCUGUGGAAGGGCGGACUCGACGUGCAAGUCCGUACACAGGCGCGCGCACGGCAAGCGCGAAACGAAGGGAAGACGAAGCGCCGCUCUCAAGCUCCUUUGGGCGCGUGUUUCUCAAAUCGGCGUUCUUCUUUCUGCCCUCGUCUCCCUUCCCCAUUCCCUUCAUCAGUCAUUGUAUCGCCUUGGUGCUUCACACGGCCCUCCCUUCCUUCCUCGCUCGCUCGCUCGGCCUUCUGGCUUCCUGGCCAUUGCGUGAGCGCGUGCUGAGAGAUCGCGUCGGUUGCCUGCUCGCUGCGUGUGCUUCUUUUUGUGAGCAUCUUUCUUCCCUCCCCCUCUUCCCCCACACUUUGCGGCCUACGCCACCGGCGCGCCUCCCUUGUCAGCGUGGUCUGCUGGUAGGAGCAGCGGCAGCGGACGAGAGAGCACGGCAUCUCCCUCAGCCCGUGUUUUUGCUGCUCAAAGGUGUACACGCAGAUGAGCUCGCUCAACAACAGUCGAGGGCAGCUGAACCCCCCUCAUCAUAAAUCCCCGCCAACCGUCAAGACACCAGCGCCUCGCCGCGCCGACCCCCAUGACGACAGUACGAUGCCGCUGAGUGGCACCAUUCAGGGCUCUUACCCGCGACCAGCGCUGCCGCCGCCCCUACCACCGGUGCAGCGCGGCUCUGCAGCCGCAACCGCAGCCGAGGACCCGGCUGCCCUCCUCAGCCGAGCGCAACGGCCCUCAGCGGCGACCUUCCCGCUCUGCCAUCCCUAUCUCGCACAAGUCGCCCUUCGUCGACGAACGGCGGUCGGCAGCAGCAACCGGAGCAGCGGUCGGCGACGCCGAUAGUGGCCCCUCGUGGAGCCACGCCGGAGCUGCAGAGCACGACCAUGAACGCCUCUGCCACCGCACGGCGCCCGCCAACAAACCCCCAGAGCCGCAGCGCAGCCAGCACGCCAGUGCCACGCCCAUCCCCGCCCCUCAGAGCGAAGGGCGUGACGGCGGAAGUGUCUCCGUCGCGAGGGAGGUCCGGCGCCGAGGGGCUGUCCCGAAAGACAUCCUCUGGUGCGCGCAGCAACAGCAGCCCUGGCGCCUCCACACGCGCGAGCAAGCGGGAUGACGGUGUCGAGGAGCUGAUGGAGAUUCCGCUGGCCCGCACACAGCCCAUCGAGAAGUUCUUUGUAGAAUACAACAGCGCCGCCGCAGAGCGGGAGGACGAUGGGCAGCCACGCGAUGAUAAUGAGGUGUUGCUGAUGCAGUUUGCCGAGUACACCGAUGACGAUUCCUUUUUUUCUUCGAGCGACACGGUCAUCGAGUGUGACCCGCAGCGCCUGCGCAGCGACCCACUUCGUCGGCGUGCGGUCGUGUCGGUGCACAACACACUGCAGCUGCGCGCUCUCACCAACGGCCGGGUGCCGGAGGACAUGUGUGGAACAACGUCACGCGCACCUCAUGGCUGUAUCAGAUCCACAAUCGUGCGAUCGCCCUGCAGCACAGCUCUUUCUUUAUCUUCCCUGCUCGCUGGACGCCGCGCGUAAUGGUGUACAACGUCAUGCACCACUGGCUGAUGGAGAUGUUCAUCUUCCUCAUGAUCCUUGGCUACGCGAUCUUCCAGGCGACAUGGAGCCGUUACACCGCCCCUCCUGGAGGUAUGCACAAGCCGGACCACAUUAUCUGGGCUGACGUGUUCUACACGUGCCUACUGGGCUUCGAGAUCAUCGCGCGUCUCUUCGCAAGCGGCGGCAUUCUGCACAAGCGCGCUUUCUUCCGCUCCCCGUGGCGCUGGCUGGACACGGCGGUGCUCGUGCUGAGCAUCAUGGAGUGCACGUGGUGGCAGGACCUCUGGAACUUCACGGCAUGGCGGCUCAUCCGCACCAUCAAGUGCCUCACAUACGUUCCCGCUCCUGUGCGCAUGAAGCUGCUCGCCAAGUCGCUCCUGCGCUCCACGAACCGGCUCAUCUACGUGACCAUUUUUCUCACGUACUUCAUCUUCUUCUUUGGCCUGCUGGGGCUGCAGCUGUUCGUUGGCACGCUGCACAGCCGCUGCGUCAACACGCUCACCGGCGCCGUCACGUCGCAGGUGUGCCGGAGCGUGGCUACCGGGCAAUACGGCUUUUACUGGGGCCAUCAUUGUGGCGUUUUCUACACCUGCCAGGCGGACGCCUUCCCGAAUCCGCACUACGAUUUCCGCAGCUUCGAUGACAUUGGGCACGCGAUGCUGUCGGUGUUCCAGAUCAUGACGUUUCAGGGCUGGAGCGAGCUUCUGCAGGAAACAAACGACGGGCUGGCGAUGAUGGCGUUCCUCUACUACUUCUUCACCAUUCUCGUUUGCGCGUGGAUUGUGCCGUCCUUGUACCUCGGCGUCUUCCUCGAGAAGAUGGACAAGACGAGCCGGCUGUUCGUGCUGAAGCAGCUGGACUUCUUCGAUCAUAUGCUGACAGAGCAGCGCCAGCGCAUGUCGUCCAUGGUGCGCCUGAACGACUACGUCGAGCGCGAUGAGAACGGUUUUGUGUCCCACUACCCAGCCUACACGCUCCAGCAGCAGGAUGACAAGCGCCUCACCAGUGAUGACAGCACCAGCGGCAGCACAGACGACAAGAACAUGAACGCGCACAGGAUAAAGAGUCACCACCGCGCGAUUCAGGCGACGAAGUGGACAGACGAGCAGCGCAUUCAGUUGCAGCUGGCGCUGACGCGUCAGCGCGACGUCGCCGAGGAGGCGGAGCGCAAGCGCCAGCUGCAGCAGGCAGCCCUCGGCGACCUCAUUGUCGAAGAGGGCGGCGCGGGAAAACGGCAGGGCACGGGGAGGCGGGGAGCCUCUCCAGCCGGGGCAGCGUCUGGGUCGGCAACCCAGACCGAGACGUCCCCGCAGCCCACCAAGGAGCGCAGUGAAUUUGCCCUCGGAGGUCGUGUUGGUGCCGUGCAGCACCACCCCGCCGCCUACGCCAUUGGCGACUCUCACCAGUCGGACCUCCCCUUUGCGGUUCGGCAAGAGGUGCAAGCGGAGCAGCUGCGCUUUCUGGACCCGUACACCAACGGUGCGAGCGCCGCAAAGAACGACAUGUACAACUCCGCCGCUGCCUUGCGCACCAGCAUUGAUCAGUCGCGCACCGCCGUGCCCGGUGGCGGCGCGGAGAGCGCUACCGUCCUGCACAGUCGCCCAGUGAGCAAUGCGCGGCCCUCCACCAGGGCACCGUCGGCGCCGUCGACGAGUGUCAUGGUGGCCCGCGAGGCCGCCGGCGUGGUGCCGCACCGCCGCUCGAUGUCGGUGCGCGGCGGAACGCUGUCGCGCGCGUCGAGCAUGAACGGUCGUGGCUCGUUGAGCCGCUUGCACGCCUCAAUGACGCAGGUGCCGCAGGCGCCAACGCAGCAGGAGCAGACGGCGUACGUCAUCAACGACCCCGAAGGCGGCGACUUCGACUACGCCAAGACGCUGGGGCAGAAGAUCAACAUCAUCCGCAACAUCGCCCAUAUGUUCACGGAAGGCUAUCCGCGCAUCAUCUCGCAGUACCUUUGGGAGCACCGCAUGAUGCAGCACCGCUACGGGCUCACGCCACUGUCCUACACGAAUAAGUACGAGGAAGAGGCUCUGCGCCGGCUGCGUCAGCGGCGCGCGCAGGAGCGCCGCGAGGAGCGGGAGGAGCUGCGCCGCAGUGGCAUGGGGCACCUCAUCGAUGACGAUGAAGAUGAAGAUGACGAUUCGCUGGCGGAGAAGCCGUGGAUGCGCCAGGAGGGGCUGGUACCUGGGAGCAUGUCACCCAUCCGCAUGGCGCGCAACAUCCGCGAGAACGCGCCGAUCACCGUCUUCAACUACAUCAUGUACUCUUUCAUCAUCGCCAACGCCGUCUUCAACGCGUCGCGCUUCGACACGAUGCCGGACUACUGGGAGACGGGCACAUUCAUCGCGGGUGUCUGCUUCUCUGUGUUGUUCAUGCUGGAGCUGCUCAUCCGCCUGCUCGCCCUUGGUCCCGGUCCUUUCUUCACGGACAUAGUCAUCCUGAUCGAAGCGACGUUCAUGGUCACCUCGCUCUUCCAGCUUGGAUACAGCAGGGCAAACACGACGUCGCUGUUCAACUGGGUGCGCUUCCUGCGUCUCUUCCGUGUCAUACCGUGCCGUCCGCUGCGCCGCGUCUCACGGGUGCUCAUCCACGGCUUCCCUGACAUGGUCUACGCCCUUGUCUUCUUUACACUGUACAUGUUUAUGUGGCUGUUGCUGGGCAUGAGCUUCUUUGGCAGCCGUAUAGGCUGGAUCGACUACAACACGAGCGACUACACCACCCGUGGCACAUUCGAGACCUUCUCGCAUGCAGCCUACGCCGUGGCGCAGGCCUUCUCGGUGAACAGAGAUCAGUGGCUCUACCUCUCGUGGUCUGGGAUGCGGGUGCGUGGGGGCUACACCGUCAUGUACUUCAUCGCCACUGUCUGCGUCGCCUUCAUCUUCCGCUUCUUCUUCAUUGCGGUAAUGACGUACGCGUGGCAGGCGCAGCAGGAGAAGGAGGACUACUACUUUAUGUCGGGCAGCAGUCACGGUCGUCGCGGACGCCGCAGUCGCUUCGCGCGGCUGCCAUUCUUCGAUUUCAGCGUCUGGCGCUCCUUCAAGCACAUUCACGGCGGCUUCGACCGGCGUGACGUGGCGCCUGACGAGAUCUACUUCCUGAACGAAGACAUGGCGCGCCAGCUGCGCCUCGUGGAGGCCAAAGACCGAUACUACCGCGAGCACUAUGGUCAGGAAAAGAGCGAGUGGAGCGACAUGGGCGAGGGCAGCCAGGUGGGUGGCUCGGACAUGUACGGGCCAGAUGGUGCGCUCGUCAACGGCCCGCAGUACGUCAACAUCGGCGGCCGUCUGUACCGCCAGCCGAGCCUGCCAGCGACAGAGAUGGGCUUCUCGGUGGUCGGAACGCCGCAGCAGCGUGGGCAACUUCGCUUUGCACGGCACCACCGCGCCGUGCCAGCCACCACCUACGCCGCCGCGCAGCUGCAGAGGCCGGCGGGCGCACACGACGCAUUACCGGACGAGGUCGUGGGUAGUCGGUCGCUCUCGCGACACAGCCGCCGGAGCAUGGCGAACCCGCUGCUGGCCGAUCGCCGCAGCCUCUCCCCGGCGCACCAAGGCACGAGCGUCGGCGGCCCCAGUGUGGCUCGCGUGUCGGACUCCCUCGCAGAGGAACGGGCGAAGAACACGAACAUCAGCCUCGUACCGCGGCUGACGAAGCUGGGCAAUGCCCGCGCCCUUGUCGUCGCCGGCGACGACGAGGCGACCGCCGACUACAGCACCCCCGAGGGCGGCGUGUCGGACGAAGACUUCGAGCAUCUGCUCCUGCCCGGUCCCCGCCUACGCUACAAGAGCACCAUGGAUGAGGGACGUCGCGUAUUCGAGACUUGUCUGGACUGCAACACGCACAUGCAGAUGCCGCUGCGCGCGCCGCCAGGUGUGGCGCAGCGCACCGCCGAGGAGCUGCAUGCGGAGCACUGCCACAUGGCGGCGGUGCGUAGCUCGCAGCAGCUAGUGCUGAACGCGCUGAUCGGAUACACCAGGAUGCAGGCCGACCACGAGGUGACCCCCACCAAGCGGAUGGUGGAGAUAGUGCUGGGACAGGCCUGGAGCUGCGGCAUGCUGCUGUUCGACACAAUUGAAAACCUGUCUUGCAUGGACUUGCCAGAGCAGGAGCGGACGUGGGACCGCAUGCUGGAGGCGCUGGAGAUGCAACAGUGGCUAUUGGGACUGCACGUCGGCGAGGAGCAAGUCGGCCGUGCCACGCUGGCCUACAUCCUGGCGAACCAGCAGAGGCAGGAGGCGCAGGUGCGGGAAAAGAGCUACAAGAACACCUGGGAGGACCGCGUGUUCUUCGUGCUCUCGCCCUCGAACCCGGUUCGGCGGGCGGUGUCGGCUGUGGUUGGCUCGAUGUGGUUUGAGAUUGCCGUCCUGUGCGUCGUCUAUGCCGCCUCCAUCUGCUUGGCUGUCUAUGCGCCAGACGAGGGUAAUCGCGACUUCGGCGGCAGCUACAACAGCGCCAAGUACAAGGUGCUGCACAUCCUCGACGACAUUUUCUCUAUCAUCUUCGCAGUAGAGAUGGUUCUGAAGUGGAUCAGCAUGGGGGUCGUGCUGCCGGUCGGCCGCGCGUACUUCUGGCACCGAUGGAACAUCUUCGAUUUCUUCAUCGUGAUCAUCUCUCUCGUGUCGUGGGGCAGGCCGGACAUCUUUCUACGCUACCUGAAGGUGAUGCGCUGUUUCCGCAUUCUGGGGCCGCUGCGGUACUGGAAGUGGGGCAGCAGCAGCAUGUCACACGUGGCGCGCGCCAUCUGGGACAGCAUUCCGACCCUGGCGAACGUGUGCCUGCUCAUGCUCAUGAACUACAUUGUGUGGGCCAUCAUCUUCGUCUCCCUGUUCAUGGACAAGUUCAACUACUGCAGCAACGCCAGCAUAGUGAACGGCACGCAGUGCGUCGAGGAGGGGUACACGUGGGCGCCAACCCAGCGCAACUUCCGCAACUUCUACGAAAGCCUGUUGACGACCUUCGAAAUCAGCACCGGGGCGGAGUGGAUAGACGUCAUAUACAGCGCCGUCGACUCCCGCUCAGCGCUGCUGUCGCCGCUGCGGAACCAGCGCCCGUACCUCGGCCUGGUCUUCAUCGCAUACUACUACGUGUCGCACUUCAUCUUCUUCACGCUGUUCAUCUCAGCAGUGAUUUACUGCUACAUGCUCGCCAAGAGCGCGACGGAGGACGCGACGGGGACAACGAUCGAGCACCAGGUCUGGCUGCGCAUGCAGGGCAUGAUUUUUCGGCUGAAACCCAAGGUGCAGCUUCUGCCCCUGGACACACGAGUCUCCCGCCUGGUCCACUUCCUGAUUUCGAAUCGCUGGUUCGAGGCGUUCAUGGGGCUCAUUCUUGUCUUUAACAUGCUGACCAUGUCGCUCGAGUGGUACCAGAUGAGCAGCACGCAGAAGACCACGCUCGACGCGUUCCAGUACAUCUGGGUCGUCAUUUUCACCCUCGAGGUCGUUCUGCGUUUCGUCGCGCACGGCCUGCGCUUCUUCACGCGCCGGGCCUACUGCUGGGACCUUCUGAUCGUUGUCCUCUCCUACAUUCAGAUCGGCCUCAGCACCACGGCCACCAACCGCGUGCCGUUCAACGUGAAUGUGCUGCGCAUGCUGCGAGUGGGGCGGGUGUUGCACCUCGUGCACCUCGUGCUGCCCUUCUCCACCCAUCUGACACUCUUCCACGAGGUCCUGAAGGCGUCGGUGCCGGGGCUCAUCAGCGUGACGUUCGUGUACAUGAUCGCCGUGUACGUCUUCGCGAUAUUGGGCCUGCACUUCUUGGGCUACAUCGUACCCUUCGGUGGCUACAUCGAUGAUAAGUACAACAACUUCGGCACCUUUGUGAACGCGCUUAUCAUGGUGUUUCGACUAUCCACCCUACAGAACUGGGCAACGAUGCUGCGAGGCAGCUUGGACCGCGGUUACUACUGCGCCCGCGCCAGCAAGCGAUGCGGGCCAACGGACUGGGCGCCGGUGUACUACAUCCCCAUUGUCAUCUGCUUCUUCCUUCUGCUAAGCACCCUGUACAUGGCAGUCGUGCUGGACAAGUACGUCGCAGCCGUGCGCAUCUACUCUGCCGUCACCCGGCUCGACGAGCUGCGUCGCUUCUGCCGCCUGUGGUCGAAGAGGGAUCCGAACGGCACCAUGUGGCUGCCAAGCGCGGUGCUACCGGAGCUGCUGGAGGAGCUGCGUCUGCCGCUGGGUGUCAGUGAUCGCCGCAACCGCGUUGAGGUAAUGCAGCUGCUGCGGGAGUACAACAUUCCUGACCACAACGGCCGUGUUUACUACUACGAGGUACUGCUACCGCUAGCGCGGCGCGUGAUGGCCAUCGCAUUUCUCGAGGCGGCCGAUGCGCACACGGCCGGCAGCCAGGCUCCGAGAGACAUUGCCUGGCACCUGUCGGAGCGCUCGCUCGGAGCGCUGCCGGCGUCCUAUGGCACGGUCCGGCCAAGCAGCGUCACGGUAGCUGAGCAUUACGCAGCCGCCCUCCUACAGGCCGCUUUCCGCCGGGACCGCGCGAUGCGCGACUAUUACAUUGCCAAGUCGGAGCUGUGGCGCCGCGGCAGGGCGGUCUGCGUUGAGCGCGGGCUGCCGUACGACAACUUCGGGUUUGGCAAGACACCGCUGGCGGGCCCAGACCCGCGCGAGGAAGGCAUGCGCCGUGGCUUCAACAUUCCGAAGGAUGCCACCCUCGCCAACUCCGCCGGCGGCCGUGUCUACGCCGACCCCGUGGCGGCCCGCAUCGCCGCGAUGCGCGAGGCCAUGGGCUCCCACAAGCGCGCCACUGAUCAGGAGCCGCCAACGCUCCUGCCGGCGGUCUACCGCUCUGCGAUUUACCCCGAAGAGAAGCGCUUUGGCCCCAACGCCCCUGGCGCCAUCCGCCGCCACGAGCGUCGCGACGAGAAGCUGGAGCGGAAGCGGGCGCAGGAGGAAUACGAGAGACAGAUGUACGAGCGCAGCACCCGGGGUUGUCCGGCACGCGCAGCUGGCGAGCAAAAAGAUAAUGAAACCGUCACUGCCGAGGGCGCAGGCGACGUGGACGUGGGCUUAGCUUAUAGCAAAGGCACCAUGGAGCCGCAUCCCGCGGCCCGCGGAAAUCAAUACAACUUAGAUCCGAUGGACGUCAACUACCAGCCUCCUCUCGGCACAAGUCCGGAGGAGCUGCGACAGGAAAAGGUGGACCGUCGCCUCAACGCAGCCGCCGCUGCCGCAACGGCCUCAGCAACGCUCGGUGGCAUAUCGCCUUCCACCACUCCCGAGCAGUACUAAGCCUCUCCCAUGACCUCAGGCGCCCUCCUUCCAGGACGCAAUGCAAGGCGCACACAUACUCUUCUCUGUUCGGAGCACUCUGGAGGCUCACCGACACGGCUGGCCUCGCUGUUGUUGCAGCGCCUGUGGCCGUUGUGCUGGUGCUGGUUGAGGCCGCUGUUUAUUCUUCUUUUCGGUCAGGUGUUACGUCUGUCCUCAGUUCAACGCCUCCCGGUAGCACAGAGCACAGAGCACCUCCCUCCUCUCUCUCCCCUUCUCCCUCCCUGUUUUGUCCACCCCCCCCUUCUUCUAGCCUCCCACCCAGAGACGUGUCAGAGAGUGUUGCGUCUCGUUCUCCUUCGGUUUCUUCCUCUCCUGCCAUUGUGUGUCUGCACUUCUUCGAUUGAGUCUGCAGGUCGCCGCACGCACACAUAGCAGACGGCGAAGGUGGUGCCGGUGUGUGCUUUUCGUAUGCAUGUAUAGGCACGUGUCGUCUUGAUGCGACAGGCGCCCUGAACCCUGCCAGUGUGUGUAGUAUGUCUCCCUCUUGCUUUUAUGUUGCUAUGUACUGAUUUAGGCCCAUGAAGGAUGAAGUUGGGUGUUGUCGUUGUAGAAGCCGCGCAUCAGUUGUGGAGUAUGCAUGUACAAGAACAUCGCACACACAUACAUAUGCGCGCGCAAGUCGCGCAUGCCUUAUUUAUGUGUGUGUGUGUGUGUGUGUUUCGGUGUGUGUGUCUGUACCGCAAACACGAACACUCCACACAGCAGAAGGAGGAGAGGCGCCAUUCGUGAGGAGGGGGAGAUCAUGCUCGUGCGGUUCGGUACGUAUGCAGGCAGCGAAUGAGGGCUUUGGCUUCGGAGCAGGAGGUUUAGCGGAAGUGCUGGAUGCCAGCAGAACGUCCUUGGCCGCCACCUUUGCUCCGCCUCGCUUGUUGCUGCUCGGAACGGCUCGCUCGCCCGCCAAAGUACGCUGAAGGGCCGUCUUGCUGGAGCGUAAAUCCAGGGAGAGCACGUUUGUGUCGGCGAUUUGCCGCCACCAAACGCGUCGGCACGUACUCCGCUGAAUGGUGGCAAGCAAGUCUCAAG
rnacentral:misc_RNA from 1 species